rnacentral:rRNA from 1 species
GAAGAGAGAGUUCAAGAGUACGUGAAACUGCUCAGGGGCAAACGGGUGGGCCCUCGAAGUCCGAGAGGAGAGGGAUUCAGUCGCGAGCCGCGAGGGGUGCCGGCGUUGUAACAAGUCCGGACUCCGGGAGGAGCCGCGGCGAUGGCACCGUCCUCCGGACGCGCGACGCAUUUUCCUCUCCCGUGGGACGCCGCAGCCGGUGGGGCGUCGGCAGUGAGGACCUGGUCGGUAGGUGGCGUGGAUCGGGGUCUCGCACCCCGCGUCCCGUGUCUGCCCGACCGAGCGUCCGUGCGCGACGCCCGACCGAGGGAACCGUCGGUUGAUGUACCGACGCGCCGUGGCCUCGCCCUAGCGAGCGGGCCCCCGUGCCAGGGAAGGCGUGCGUAGCAAAGUCCCCGUGUCACCGUGCCGGUGUCCGGGGCCGCACGCGCCCCGUUGGGCCGGGUUGCAGCCCGCGGCGUUGCGCAUUUCGGCUGGCGGCGAGUAGGUCGGUAACCCACCCGACCCGUCUUGAAACACGGACCAAGGAGUCUAACAUGUGCGCGAGUCAGUGGGGCUCGAUCAAGCCCACGGGCGGAACGAAAGUGAGCACGUCGGGAUCCCCGUCCCUCGGGGCGGGGCGCACCGACGGCCUGGCGCGACCCCACCGAGCGUGGGAGCUGCCGGUGCCGGAGCGCACACGUUGGGACCCGAAAGAUGGUGAACUAUGCCCGGGCAGGUCGAAGCUAGAGGAAACUCUGGUGGAGGACCGCACCGGUUCUGACGUGC